rnacentral:tRNA from 1 species
GCAUUCCUAGCUCGGUUGGAUAGAGCAACAACCCCCGAAGUUGAUGGUCACAGGUUCGAAGAAUUCUGUAGGAUGC